rnacentral:lncRNA from 1 species
AGAGAUUUGAUCAAUUAUAUCCUUGGAGUAUUCUCUCUCCUUAGUGAGAGCAGAGAUUCCUUGUUAUACAUUCAUUUGCCUUCAUGACUUUACUGAGAGUCCUGAUAAAUACUUUUAAGUCAUGUCUCAUACAACGCAACUAUAUACGGCCCUCAAAGACAAACAACAUAGGCACAAGACAUCUAUGAUGUUUGAGAUCUAAGGAUUAUUUGCACCAUUGCAAUCUAUGAGUUCUAGUUUGACAUGUGAGUAAAGACUUCUAUUC